rnacentral:rRNA from 1 species
GAUGAACGCUGACAGAAUGCUUAACACAUGCAAGUCAACUGUGGCGGACGGGUGAGUAACGCGUAAAGAACUUGCCUCACAGUUAGGGACAACAUUCGGAAACGAAUGCUAAUACCUGAUACUGUGAGAGCGCUUUGCGUCCCAUUAGCUAGUUGGAGAGGUAACGGCUCACCAAGGCGAUGAUGGGUAGCUGGCCUGAGAGGGUGAUCGGCCACAAGGGGACUGGGAAACGGCCCUGAGUCCUACGGGAGGCAGCAGGGAGGGAUGUUGGACAAUGGACCAAAGUCUGAUCCAGCAAUUCUGUGUGUACGAUAAAGUUUUCGGGAUGUAAAGAGCUUUCAGUUGGGAAGCGGUACCAGCAGAAGAAGUGACGGCUAAAUACGUGCCAGCAGCCGCGGUAAUUC